UACAGAGGGGGCAAGCGUUGUUCGGAAUUACUGGGCGUAAAGGGCGCGUAGGCGGCCUGUUAAGUCGAACGUGAAAUCCCCGGGCUCAACCCGGGAACUGCGUCCGAUACUGGCAGGCUUGAAUCCGGGAGGAGGAUGCGGAAUUCCAGGUGUAGCGGUGAAAUGCGUAGAUAUCUGGAGGAACACCGGUGGCGAAGGCGGCAUCCUGGACC
rnacentral:rRNA from 1 species